rnacentral:ncRNA from 2 species
AUCAACCACUAGGGGUGUCGCAAGACUGAGAGGGACUCGUUCCCGACUCUUAGAACCUGAUCUGGGUAACACCAGCGUAGGGAAGUGGGAGAGCACAUUA